rnacentral:rRNA from 1 species
AAGCGCUUGCAACCAGACUUGCACGUAGUUGAUCAUCCGGGGUUCUCCCCGGUGCACUCGGCUACGUUCAGGCUAGCAUCGGUUUUGGUGGUUGGAUAAAGGCCUAGGGAAUGUGGCUCUCUUCGGGGAGUGUUAUAGCCUAUUGUAUAAUACCUUUAUGGGGACCGAGGUACGCGCUCUGCAAGGAUGCUGGCGUAAUGGUCAUCAACGA